ensembl:snRNA U6 U6 spliceosomal RNA
UUGCUUCCUUUAGCAGCACGUAUAUUAAAUUGGACUGAUACAGAGACGAAGUGUGGCCCCUCUGCAAGGAUAACAUAAAAAUUUGUAAACUGUUCCAUAUUUUU